UUUUUUUUUGUGGUGGUGCUGGGACUUGAACCCAGGGCCUUGUGCUUGCAAGGCAAGCAUUGUACCAACUGCGCUAUAUCCCCAACCCCACUUUUUUUUUUUUAAUUUGUUUUGCUGUGGAUUGAACCCAGGACCUUGUUCAUGCAGAGCAUAUGCUCUACCACCGAACUACACCCCAACCCUCUCUUACCCAUUUCUUCCUUCAAACUGGAUUAUUUGAAAUUCCCAGAACUUUCCCUGUGAUUUUUCAAACCCAUCAUUUUCUACCUGAAGCUGGAUCACUAGGGACAUGCCCUCAAAGAAGAUAUUGGGAUCCUAACCCCUCCUCUCUCUCUGCUUUCUGGCUGCCAUGAGCUGAGCAACUCCUCCACCCUGCACUCCCACAAUGAUGUACUGUGCUGCUACCAGCCCAAAACAAUGGCCAAACAACCACAAACUGAGACCUCUGAAACCAUGAGCCAAAAUGAAUUUUCCCUCCUUUUUAAGUUGAUUUAUCUCAGGUAUUUGUCAUAGUGAUAGAAAGUUGACUAACAUGGUAUUAACACUAAAGGAUAUUGAAGCAUGAAGACAUUGAAGCAGUUUAGUUCUAGAAAAGUAGAUCAGUGGGAACAGAUGGAGAAUAAAAUAGACCCAAAUAUUUUUACGAAUUUAUAAUAAACAUGGUUUUUCAUUUUUGAGUGAUUAAAAACCCAAGGAUAUCUAGUUUAAGCAAAAAGGGAUAUUUAGCCACCAUAUUCUCAAACUGGCGGCAGCAACAAACCUACCCUUAGGGCAAUUAGAAUCAGCGAAGCUUAACACCAUCAGUACUUGCCACCUGUCCUCUGUCAGGCAAAUUAAGACUGACUUACAUAUAGAUUCAAGACCAAAGCACAAAGAUCUCACUGCUGCCAAUUUCAGUUAGGAAAAAAAAAAAUCUGGAAAAAGCUAUUAGUGGUCAGUUGGGUCCAUUUCCCACCCCUAUGACCAGGGUAUAGAAUUUUGAUGAUUUUUUCCAGAAGACAGGAAGUGGUGGUAAAUGAAGAAAAUAAUAGGUAGUACAGGUGAUACUUCAAGUCAUAGUGGAAAAUGUGGGUCACUCAGUGAAUAGAGUUGGAAUAAAUGGCUACUUCACCAUUUAGAAAAAUAUUAAAUCUACUUAUCUCAGACUUAAUUUAAAUUUUAUGUAUAUCACAUUCAGAUUUGAAAUUUUUGUUGCUGUCAUCUGACUGCACUAACACAUCAAGGAAGGUACCUGUAGUUCCUUCAUAUUAAAUUUCAAAACAUUAAAAUGUUGGGAAUUCCAAUGUGGUAUCAGGUUUUCCUUUUUCAAUGUUUUUAAGUUGUAAGUCAGCCUGUCCAUUUCUAGGAUGCCUAAUUCCAUUAAGCUCUUUCUAAUGGCCACACUUGUUUUGCUUUGCCCUAUAAACUUAAACAACCACCACCCAAACAAAGCUUUUCUGUGGAGCACACCCAAGUUUUGGUCAAGUAUAAGCCUUUUCAAACUUAGUUAUUCUCUCAGCAAAUCUCCACACUGAUAUUUUUUUUUUAGGAAGGACUGAUGGAAAACCCUCCUUGGCUUUAUGCUUCCAUUUUCAAGAACCUUCCCAUACAAUCAUCACUGCAGUUUCUGAACUCCAUCUCACUGUGACAAGAAGUAACACCAAGCAUUACACAUAAGCAUUGUUAUACUUGAUUUUCUUUGAUAAUUUCCAAUAACAUGAUCAUAGUGAUGUGUGUAUUUUCUAUGGUACUCUCACUGAUAAGUUAAUAAACAAUAAACUUCCAUUUAUUGAAGGCUUGCCGUGUGCCAGCACUAUGCUAAAUCCUUUAGAUAGCACUAUUUAGAUGAUUCCUUACUGACAUCUAAGAUGCUAUUUUUUUUUUAGGCAUAAACAGGUUUAUUUAGGAUGAUAAAUAUACAUUCAAGGGAGAAUGCAGGCCUCCUCGAGAGUGAGAAGCCAUGAUGUUAUUUUUUUACCCUAUGUUACAAAUAAAAUGUGGCCUGCCUGGAACCCACCAUUAAUAAGUGACAACCUGGACUCAAACCUGAUCACACUGAUUAUUCUGUUGAUUGUGCACAUUGCAACAAGCUACCCAACAAAUAUUUGGAAAGUUGUGGGUCAAGAUGGCAGGCUGAACAUAUCUGUUUACUCUUCCAUCUGUCUAAAACCCUAUGAAAUAAUUACAAAAAAAGAUAUGAAACAUAGCUUAAGUAUAUAGUAGAGGUGGGGGGAAACAAUGAAGAUGGGCACUAACACACAGUUGUGAUGAUUAAAGAGCCAAUUGGAACAUCCAGGCCAUAGGUCUUACUCCCUUUGUUGAUGCAGAAUAGCACAUUUUUAUAGAAGCUGCAUUUUCUACAUAAGCUAAGGCAGUGUUGAGGAGGGUUCUCUAUGGAAUCCAUAAAGGAGAAAAAGAUAGAUGACCUCCUCCUACCCACAAGAAAAGAUAUUGGCACACGCUCUCAGCAUGUUAGCACAAUCUGAUAACAGCAAAAGCAGAGAACAGGGAUUCUCAGGUGCUAAGUUUCACAAACAACCAAGAAUGCCAAAUAUUAAGGAGGAAAUGGUGGAUUGGAUUCUGUUUUAGUUGAACCAAACACAUUAGAUAAUUAAACUUCCCCAAAAUGAAUUAUAUGCACAUACAUAGAUAUAGCAUUAGAAGCUUUAAAGUUUGUACCAAAACCAAUGAGUAACCUGGCAGCACAAUAUGCUUGUAGUGUCUGGUGUUUAAAGUUCAAAAUAUUAUGCAUUUUAGUAUUUGUUUCAUUUCUUCUGAGUAUUCUAAAUAAUUAACCUGGGUUUGUUUUUUUCUGUUUUAAGAAUUUAACUUAAAUGUGUGUGAUUCUUGGGGUGAUAGGCAUAAUAACAACCUGCCCAGACAUGUUUGCCUUAUAAUAACUGAACCUAUAAAUUUGAUAUGUGGUUAGGUUGCAGAUGGAAUUAAGGUUGCCAAUUAGGUGACUGAUGAUGGCAAGGUUAUCUUGAAUUAUCUGGGUGGGCCCAAUGUAGUCACAAAUGACCUUGUAAGUGAAAGAGGUGACAGGAGAGUCAGAAUGAUAUGAUGAAAGAUUCCCCAGCCAUUGAUGACUUUGAAGAUGGAAGGAGACCUUGAGCCAAGGAAUGAAUAGUGCCUCUGGAAGCUGGAAAGGGCAAGAAAUUGAUUCCCUUCUAGGGCCUGCAGAAAGAAAUACAGUCCUGCUUAUACCUUCUGUUAGCCUACUGAGACCUUUCUAGACUUCUGACUUUCAGAAUUGUAAGAUAACAAAUUUGUAUUGUUUUAAACCACUGCACUUUGUGCUAAUUUGUUACAGCAGCAAUAAGAAACUAAUACAUCUGAAAAUUGCUCUCUGGCAUCUCUAUGGAACACAAUUAGAAAAUCACCAUUUGGGGGGGAUUCUUUCUGGUUAUUAGCACAUAGCAAUUAUGCCCAUGAAAGGGUAUUUUGUGUUUCUAAAAACUCUAUGGAAGUUAACUAUGAUAAAUACCGACCAUUUUUAUAAAUUAUAAUUUUCUCUAGUGAAAUGGUUUCUUUUUUACUUAUCCUAACAGCAGCUUAUAUAAAAUGUUAAAGUUCUAUCCCUGAUUAAAACAAAGCAACAAAAGAGAUCCAAUUACUGCAGAGAACUGGACAUUUGAAUCCUUCUGAGGAGUUUUAUGAGCCAUCUAAUCUAGGACAUCUUAUAAUUUUUUUUCUCUUUAAAAUGGGCAGAAAGUAUAUUAUCAUAAUAAAGAGAUAUGCAUAAAGCUAUGAAAAUGUAGGCUAACAGCAAUUUAAGUGUAAAGAACCAGCUGUUAUAAUGUAACAUGCCAAAUGAUUUUCUUUUGUGGUAAAAUACAAUAUUACUGUAUGGUAGCACAUACAGUUGGGGAAAUUUUCACAGACAAUAGACUUCUCACUCUGUAUAAAAUACAGUAACACUGGUUUAAUUCUGUAUAUAUUUGUAAGCACUUUGAGGGUCAUAAUAAAAUUCUGUUGUCCACCCAAUAAAUGAAGUUCAACAUCAUUUUGCUGAA
rnacentral:lncRNA from 1 species